CCUUCUGGGACACCACCGGCGGACGGCUCAGUAACACGUCGGUAACCUACCCUCGGGAGGGGGAUAACCCCGGGAAACUGGGGCUAAUCCCCCAUAGGUGUGGGGUACUGGAAGGUCCCCACACCGAAAGGGGCUUCGUGCCCGCCCGAGGAUGGGCCGGCGGCCGAUUAGGUAGUUGGUGGGGUAACGGCCCACCAAGCCGAAGAUCGGUACGGGCCAUGAGAGUGGGAGCCCGGAGAUGGACACUGAGACACGGGUCCAGGCCCUACGGGGCGCAGCAGGCGCGAAACCUCCGCAAUGCGGGAAACCGCGACGGGGGGACCCCCAGUGCCGUGGCAACGCCACGGCUUUUCCGGAGUGUAAAAAGCUCCGGGAAUAAGGGCUGGGCAAGGCCGGUGGCAGCCGCCGCGGUAAUACCGGCGGCCCGAGUGGUGGCCGCUAUUAUUGGGC
rnacentral:rRNA from 1 species